CCUGGCUCAGGACGAACGCUGGCGGCGUGCUUAACACAUGCAAGUCGAACGAGGUUGCAGGAGAGCUUGCUCGAAUGUAACCGAGUGGCGGACGGGUGAGUAACGCGUGAGGAACCUGUCUCACACAGGGGGAUAACGCAUCGAAAGAUGUGCUAAUACCGCAUAUGACCACAGCAUCGCAUGGUGCAGAGGUGAAAGGAGCAAUCCGGUGUGAGGUGGACUCGCGUCUGAUUAGAUAGUUGGUGAGGUAACGGCCCACCAAGUCAACGAUCAGUAGCCGACCUGAGAGGGUGAUCGGCCACAUUGGGACUGAGACACGGCCCAGACUCCUACGGGAGGCAGCAGUGGGGAAUAUUGGGCAAUGGGCGAAAGCCUGACCCAGCAACGCCGCGUGAAGGAAGAAGGUUUUCGGAUCGUAAACUUCUGUCCUACAUGAAGAGAUAGAGACGGUAGUGUAGGAGGAAGCCCCGGCUAACUACGUGCC
rnacentral:rRNA from 1 species